GACGACGCUGGCGGCGUGCCUAACACAUGCAAGUCGAGCGGGUUGAAGCGAGGGGUAACUCGAGUUUCUACCUAGCGGCGGACGGGUGAGUAACGCGUGGGCAACCUGCCUCAAGGACUGGGAUAACAGCCUCGAAAGGGUCUGCUAAAUACCGGAUAAGCCCUAUGGCCUCGCAUGGGGCCAUGAGCAAAGGGGAAACCCGCCUUGAGAUGGGCCCGCGUCCCAUCAGCUAGUUGGUGAGGUGAAGGCUCACCAAGGCGACGACGGGUAGCCGGCCUGAGAGGGUGACCGGCCACACUGGGACUGAGACACGGCCCAGACUCCUACGGGGGGCAGCAGUGGGGAAUCUUGCACAAUGGGCGAAAGCCUGAUGCAGCGACGCCGCGUGAGCGAAGAAGGCCUUCGGGUUGUAAAGCUCUGUCUGGAGGGACGAACAAAAUGACGGUACCUCCGGAGGAAGCCACGGCUAACUACGUG
rnacentral:rRNA from 1 species